rnacentral:rRNA from 1 species
AGUUUGAUCCUGGCUCAGAUUGAACGCUGGCGGCAGGCUUAACACAUGCAAGUCGAGCGGUAGCACAGGGGAGCUUGCUCCCUGGGUGACGAGCGGCGGACGGGUGAGUAAUGUCUGGGAAACUGCCUGAUGGAGGGGGAUAACUACUGGAAACGGUAGCUAAUACCGCAUAAUGUCGCAAGACCAGAGAGGGGGACCUUCGGGCCUCUUGCCAUCAGAUGUGCCCAGAUGGGAUUAGCUAGUAGGUGGGGUAAUGGCUCACCUAGGCGACGAUCCCUAGCUGGUCUGAGAGGAUGACCAGCCACACUGGAACUGAGACGCGGUCCAGACUCCUACGGGAGGCAGCAGUGGGGAAUAUUGCACAAUGGGCGCAAGCCUGAUGCAGCCAUGCCGCGUGUGUGAAGAAGGCCUUCGGGUUGUAAAGCACUUUCAGCGAGGAGGAAGGUGGUGAGCUUAAUACGCUCAUCAAUUGACGUUACUCGCAGAAGAAGCACCGGCUAACUCCGUGCCAGCAGCCGCGGUAAUACGGAGGGUGCAAGCGUUAAUCGGAAUUACUGGGCGUAAAGCGCACGCAGGCGGUUUGUUAAGUCAGAUGUGAAAUCCCCGGGCUCAACCUGGGAACUGCAUUUGAAACUGGCAAGCUAGAGUCUCGUAGAGGGGGGUAGAAUUCCAGGUGUAGCGGUGAAAUGCGUAGAGAUCUGGAGGAAUACCGGUGGCGAAGGCGGCCCCCUGGACGAAGACUGACGCUCAGGUGCGAAAGCGUGGGGAGCAAACAGGAUUAGAUACCCUGGUAGUCCACGCUGUAAACGAUGUCGAUUUGGAGGUUGUGCCCUUGAGGCGUGGCUUCCGGAGCUAACGCGUUAAAUCGACCGCCUGGGGAGUACGGCCGCAAGGUUAAAACUCAAAUGAAUUGACGGGGGCCCGCACAAGCGGUGGAGCAUGUGGUUUAAUUCGAUGCAACGCGAAGAACCUUACCUACUCUUGACAUCCAGAGAACUUUCCAGAGAUGGAUUGGUGCCUUCGGGAACUCUGAGACAGGUGCUGCAUGGCUGUCGUCAGCUCGUGUUGUGAAAUGUUGGGUUAAGUCCCGCAACGAGCGCAACCCUUAUCCUUUGUUGCCAGCGGUUCGGCCGGGAACUCAAAGGAGACUGCCAGUAAUAAACUGGAGGAAGGUGGGGAUGACGUCAAGUCAUCAUGGCCCUUACGAGUAGGGCUACACACGUGCUACAAUGGCGUAUACAAAGAGAAGCGACCUCGCGAGAGCAAGCGGACCUCAUAAAGUACGUCGUAGUCCGGAUUGGAGUCUGCAACUCGACUCCAUGAAGUCGGAAUCGCUAGUAAUCGUAGAUCAGAAUGCUACGGUGAAUACGUUCCCGGGCCUUGUACACACCGCCCGUCACACCAUGGGAGUGGGUUGCAAAAGAAGUAGGUAGCUUAACCUUCGGGAGGGCGCUUACCACUUUGUGAUUCAUGACUGGGGUGAAGUCGUAACAAGGUAGCCGU